GGCAAAACGAAUCACCAAAACUCUAAAGAAGAUGACCUCGUCACCCCUCCCGGACUUUUGCAAGCUCCAAGAGUUGAGCCCGCUGUGUUUCGGUGAGUUUCUGGUGGUGCAGCUUUUGUGCUGCCUUCAGGAGAAUGGAACAUCAAGAUGCAACUGGUGUAUUAAUCCUGAUGCUACAAGAACUUUGCCUCUGCUGUCCCCUACAGACUGAGAGCAAAGCUUCCCAUUGCAUGACAAGCAGUGAAGGAAAUGAGAACAUCUCUUUCAGUCCCUUGCCUUUCUCUUGCUGACUCGGUUUUCAAAUUGUUUCACAUUGUUUUUCCUGAUCCCUGUUGACCUGCCAGAGAUUGUACUGAGAACUGUGGCCGCACGGCAGGGGGUGGAGCUGUCAGGUGAGAAACCUGUAACAUGCACGCAAAGGUACUAGAGGACAAAUAAAAAAUGCACCUGCAUAUUUCAUAUCAGCAAAAUCCAUUUGAAAAUGCAUUUGUUUUGAUUGCAGGACAAAAUACAGAAGCAUUUACUGGAUCUGUUAAACAGGAUUGAAACUUUAAAAAUGCUCCGAUCCAACAGUGUGAACCAGAUCGUAGCAUCUGUCUAAAGCUUGAAAGUUUAAUUAUCAUUCAUUUUCUUUACUAAUAAUUCGGUAGUGUGUUGAAGCCCAAACAGUCCCUCACUAACAGAAUAUGGCCAGUGAUCAUCCUUCCAACUCUUUCUAUUCAAAUGCCCUGACCUCUGACCUCUACCAUUUCCACAAUGUACAUACUGCAAGACAAACUAUCUUGCCACUUAGUGUAAAGGCAUGAUAAAUGUGAAUUUUUGAUAUAUUCGACUCUUUCUGAGACAUUGAAGAACUACAUAUUUAUUUACAUGGUAAACUAAUUUGACAAAACAAUUGAAAACCUCACUGGGUAAAGUUAAGAUCUUGGAAGGAUUUUUUUGGGAGUUUAUUAGUAACUUAUAGCACCCUCUGCUGGCAGUACUGCGUGCUUUAUGAUCACAAGUUGUUAAAUGUGGAAGAUCACUGCUUCACUGUUUGAUUUACCCCACAAAGCUUUCUCAGCUGGGUUUGGCUCUAAAGUAUCCAACCUGUAAUUUUGGGAAUUGCUUUGAAGUUUGAAUAUCAAAAGCUUUCAUAGAAACAUUCUUUCCCAGUGAAAGAUUUACUAGUUUCAGCUAUUUAUAUUGGGACAUCUGGAUGCUUGCAAAAUAGCAACAGGUAUUGCUGUAUUCAAUUUAUUAGAUUUGUUAAAUAUUCAAAAAAUACAUACAGAUGUUGGUGCUAGUGCUACUGCUGUGUGAAAAGCAUUCAAAUAAACUGAUCUUUCAUUACAGCAGCAUUAUCUCACAGAUUUUCUUUUACAACAGUCUAAACAUUGACUUAAGAACUCAUUUGUUUAGCUCUUGACUAAAUCCCCACUGAGAGAUCUAAUUGUACCUGCUGUCAAUAUUCUCUACAGCCUCUUCUUGCCAAUCACUGAUUGAUCUCCAAUGGUCAGAACCCAUGAGACUGGAGCAUGCAGCGAAAGUGAUCUUUGGCCUCUUUGCACAAUCUCUCUAAAUCACACAAAAUUCUUUCUUCUUACUCAUCUUUAUUUUGUCUCACAAUUUUCCAGGUGAUUUAAGUUUGAUGAACAAGAUGAUCAUAAAAGAAAUUUGAUUUUGUGUCUGUGUGGAUUUGAUUUGGGCCUAACCCUAACCCACUUUUUCUAAAACACUUUCACACACUUUCAGUUUUCUGGAAGAGGCCACCACAGUUUUUCCUUUUAAUGUCCUGGAAUUUGAAAGAGUUUGUGAUUUAUUGCACUCUAAUGUUUCUAGGGCUCUUGGAAAAGAAACAGACCCACAGCAUCACAGAUCCUAAACCAUACUUAACGGUUCAUAUGUGGUUUUUGAACAGAAAACUUGUCAUAGAAAUUUCAUUGAAUCCUGUUCAAUGACAAUAAAUGCCAUCUAUCUAUCUAUCUAUCUAUCUAUCUAUCU